rnacentral:rRNA from 1 species
UACGUAGGGGGCAAGCGUUUGUCCGGAUUUAUUGGGCGUAAAGAGCGUGUAGGCGGUUUGGUAGGUCCGUUGUGAAAACUCGAGGCUCAACCUCGAGACGCCGAUGGAAACCAUCAGACUAGAGUCCGGAAGAGGAGAGUGGAAUUCCUGGUGUAGCGGUGAAAUGCGCAGAUAUCGGGAGGAACACCAAUUGCGAAGGCAGCUCGCUGGGACGUCACUGACGCUGAGACGCGAAAGCGUGGGGAGCAAACAGGG